rnacentral:sRNA from 1 species
ACUCAACACUUUACAAUUAAAAAGGGUGAGUUACAAUUGCAAAAGCAAGCCUCCUUUGUAGUGGAUUCUUGACCAGUUGUGUAGCCCUAAACCUGUUUUUACGGAGUUU